rnacentral:rRNA from 1 species
UGCCAGCAGCCGCGGUAAUACGGAGGGAGCGAGCGUUAAUCGGAAUUACUGGGCGUAAAGCGCGCGUAGGCGGCUUUGUAAGUCGGAUGUGAAAGCCCACGGCUCAACCGUGGAAGUGCAUUUGAAACUGGAUAGCUUGAGUAUUGGAGGGGGUAGUGGAAUUCCCGGUGUAGAGGUGAAAUUCGUAGAUAUCGGGAGGAAUACCGGUGGCGAAGGCGACUAUCUGGCCAAAUACUGACGCUGAGGCGCGAAGGCGUGGGUAGCGAACGGGAUUAGAUA